GGGCGGCUAGCUCAGUUGGUUAGAGCAACUGGUUUACACCCAGUAGGUUACAGGUUCGAGUCCUGUGUCGCCCACCA
rnacentral:tRNA from 1 species